CCUCCCUUAUAGCACAGAAGAAAUGAUACAGGCUGUGGAGAAGGCUCCAGAAAUGAGCACAUCAGAGGCUCUGGGGUUGGCUCCACAGCCCUGGAACAGCAGGGUCUGAGUGGUUGUCUCGACUCUAACUCUCCCCUUUCCUUCUUAUGGCCACCCCAUCACCACUGCUCCUCCAGACACUCUGAUGCUUGCUUCACAGAAUUGGAAGACUCCACCAUUACAGGCGGCCACCAGCAGAUGUCAGCAAGUCCUUCCUCUGCACCUGCAGAAGAAGCAACAGAAAAGACAAAAGUGGAAGCGGAAGUGUGAGGGGAAGUGGAAGCAGGCAGAAUGAUGAGGGAAGCACAGACAUGCCCAUGUUCUUCAUGGCUACACUCACAUUCUUGUUGUCCCAUCAGGAAAACCAGGAAGCCCAGGAAGAAUGUCCUGAACUGUUGGGACAUUUUUAG
rnacentral:lncRNA from 10 species